rnacentral:lncRNA from 1 species
AAAUUUUGAGCGACUUUGUGUGCCACUCUCCUCUCCAGAGACGGCGGCGCCUUCUGCUCCAAAAACAAAGUAGCUUGGAGGUAAAACUUUUCACCUUGCACAUGUUUUCUUUGGAUUUUUCUUGUUUGGAUAUUGUAAUCUUGUUCUAGGGUUAGGGUUUUCUAGUCCAGGGUUUAUCAGAAUUUGAAACCCUAUUGUUGAAUAUGCAUGUGGGUUUAUGGUUUGGUGUUUUGUUGAAAUAUUUUCUACUUUUGAUUGUCAAAAAGAUCAACUGGAAUCCACAAAGAUGGUUUUGGGGUCCAUAUAAUUUUUGAAUUUUGAAUGGAAACUUGUUGUUGGAUAUCCAAUUGAUGUUUUCUUUUAAUUUGAUGUCGAAUAGGCGUCAAAGAGGUUUUUCGUGCUUUAUGGUUUGGUGUGGGUUUAUGGUCUAGGGUUUAUUAGGAUAUCAAAUUGAUGUUUUCUUUUAUUUUUUUAACAAGUUUACAUGAAUAUGUCCAUGACUUGUUGUGCCUGAGGUGGCCAAGGCAUUGCACGGUGGUGUUCCACAACCAAACGUGCUAUGUGUUUUGUUGAAAUAUUUUAUGAAGAAGUCUUUUAAAAACUUGACCUAAUUUUUUUGUUUCCGUUUGCAAGGAAAGAUGAUCUAAAUGUGGGGUUCAUUAUGUGUUUGGUUAUCAUGUUUUUAGCAUCCGUUGAUUUUAUGUCAAAUAAGGAUGAGAUUUUAGCAUUCGGUAAAAAUGUCAAUGUAACUAGGGUGAGACUUGACGAGUUUGUUGUUCAAUUUCUUUUGUUCAAUUUGUCUUCUUUGCAAUCCUAUGCAUGUAGUUCAGUCUUUAUUGUGUGCAAUCCUAUGCAUGUAGUUUCUUAUAACAUAUUGGAAAAGAGUUUCAGAAGCCGGAUCUCUUUUGGAUUAGAUGGUGAUGAAGGGUCUUGUUCCCUCAAUUGUAACCUACAAUUUGCUAAUAGAUGGAUGGUGUAAAAAUAGUUAUGUUGACAAAGUGAUACUUUGCCUCUCCAGGAUGUUCGGUGAAGACAGAUAACCAAAUGUGAUUACAUACACAACAUUAAUAGAUGGGUUGCUCAAUGCUGGAAGGGUCGAUGAUGCUCUUGUGCUUUGGAACAAUAUAUUUUGAUGCGUAUUCAUGUGCUAUGAUUGGAUCUUUUGCCAUAUGGGACAACCCAAUUUACCAAUCAAUUUGGAUUUUCUUGAAAUAAAAUAAUCACUGUGAUUCAUGGGAAGUCAAACAAAUCUCUUGAAAUUCAUGAAUAAACUCUCUGAAAUUCUCUCAUGCAAAGAAUUCUCUCACAAUUCAUGUGAAUUCUAUAAAACUUUAACUCAAAAUUCUUGGAAAGUGAUUUUUUUUUUCUCUCAAAUUCCAUGGAAUUAGAUUAUCUAAAAUUCUCUCAAAAUUCCAUUUGAAUACACCCCCUAAAGCAAACUAAUUCACAUAAUAAAAUCGGUCUCUAUAUAAUUUACAUUAAGAAUAUAUAAAAUAAUAUUUAAUAAACAAUUGAUUGAAUUAUAUUAUUGCUAGCUCAUUGUGAGGCUAAGCCCAUCCUCUCUCUCCCUUAGUGUAUAUAAUAUCAUUUGUUAAAAAAAAAAACAAUCAUUUGAAAAUUAAUUUAAUCACAUUAUUAUCUUGUGCGAAAGACUUUUUUUGACACACCCUGACCUAAAUCAGGGCAUGCUGGCCGUCACAUGGGAGUGACAUAACCAUGUGCACAAUGCGGAAGCAAUAAAGAUAUAAGGGAAUUGCAAAGGAAUAAAAACCAAACUACUAGCAAAACUAAUUAAGAUAGAGUGUUAGUGCGAGAUUAAACGUGAAAUAUACAACCAGAGCAUAAAUAGCCUAAGUGUAGUCAAGCAAAACAAGUGCUAAUUAUACAACACCCAAGGGUGAUCAUACAUUUAUGAUGUUAUGUCAGAACCCCCGUUGAAAUCCUCGUGAUCCACCAAGCAUUUCUACCUAAAACCUGGAGGGGCGCAAAACAUAAAGUGUGAGUGGGCAAAAACAAAGUUUU